rnacentral:rRNA from 1 species
AAUAAGCCACGGCUAACUCUGUGCCAGCAGCCGCGGUAAGACAGAGGUGGCAAGCGUUAGUUCGGGAAUUACUGGGCGUAAAGAGUCUCGUAGGUGGUUUGUCAAGCUUUGGUGAAAGGCCGUAGCUUAACUAUGGGAAUGCCAAAGAGACUGGCAGGCUGGAGGCUGGGAGAGGGAAGCGGAAUUUCUGGUGUAGCGGUGAAAUGCGUACGAUAUCAGAAGGAAGGCCGGUGGCGAAGGCGGCUUCCUGGAACAGUCCUGACACUGAGAGACGAAAGCGUGGGGAGCAAACAGGAUUAGAUACCCUGGUAGUCCACGCCCUAAACGAUGGGUACUAAGUGUGGAGGGGUUAAACCCUCCGUGCCGCAGCAAACGCAGUAAGUACCCCGCCUGGGGAGUACGGCCGCAAGGUUGAAACUCAAAAGGAAUUGACGGGG